UGGAGAUCGACUACGCAGUGGGGAAAUGAGCUAGGGGCUGAUUCUAACUGUCAAGAGGGACAAACAAUGGGCUGGCUCAUGAACUAGCCAAUGAUGCUAAAGCUCAUGGAGACCUUGUGGUUGCGUAUGGUGUCCCGGACCAACUCCAUGAUCAGCUCUGGAAGGAAAACAAUGCAGCCUUGACGUCGGCCUAAGUCUUGA